rnacentral:rRNA from 1 species
UAGGGAAUAUUGCAAAAUGGGCGAAAGCCCGAUGCAGCAACGCCGCGUGGGCGAUGAAGGCCUUCGGGUCGUAAAGCCCUUUUUGAGGGGAUGAGGAAGGACAGUACCCUCAGAAUAAGCCUCGGCUAACUACGUGCCAGCAGCCGCGGUAAAACGUAGGAGGCGAGCGUUAUCCGGAUUUACUGGGCGUAAAGCGCGUGCAGGCGGAUUGGAGAGUUGGAUGUGAAAGCUCCCGGCUUAACUGGGAGAGGUCGUUCAAUACUUCCAGGCUUGAGUGCAGUAGAGGGAAGUGGAAUUCCGGGGGUAGUGGUGAAAUGCGUAGAUAUCCGGAGGAACACCAGUGUCGAAAGCGGCUUCCUGGACUGUAACUGACGCUCAGACGCGAAAGCUAGGGUAGCAAAC